rnacentral:misc_RNA from 1 species
GAUGAAGAACGUAGCGAAAUGCGAUACUUGGUGUGAAUUGCAGAAUCCCGUGAACCAUCGAGUCUUUGAACGCAAGUUGCGCCCGAAGCCAUUAGGCCGAGGGCACGCCUGCCUGGGCGUCACACGUCGUUGCCCCCCCAUCUACUCCUUCGGGAUUGCGGGGGGCGGAUGAUGGCCUCCCGUGCGCCUCGUCGCGCGGUUGGCAUAAAUGCCAAGUCCUCGGCGACGCACGCCACGACAAUCGGUGGUUGCGAAACCUCGGUUGCCCGUCGUGUGCGGUCGUCGCGCAUCGAGGGCUCGAAAAAAUGGUCGGGCUCCGGCUCGGCUUUCAACGCGACCCCAGGUCAGGCGGGGUUACCCGCUGAAUUUAAGCAUAUCAAUAAGCGGAGGA